rnacentral:rRNA from 1 species
UCCGUAGGUGAACCUGCGGAAGGAUCAUUAUCGAGUUUUGACUGGGUUGUAGCUGGCCUUACGAGGCAUGUGCACGCCCUGCUCAUCCGCUCCUACACCUGUGCACUUACUGUGGGUUUACGAGUCGCGAAACGGGCCCGUUCAUUCGGGCUCGUUGAGCGCACUUGUUGCCUGCGUUUAUCACAAACUCUUAUAAAGUAUUAGAAUGUGUAUUGCGAUGUAACGCAUCUAUAUACAACUUUCAGCAACGGAUCUCUUGGCUCUCGCAUCGAUGAAGAACGCAGCGAAAUGCGAUAAGUAAUGUGAAUUGCAGAAUUCAGUGAAUCAUCGAAUCUUUGAACGCACCUUGCGCUCCUUGGUAUUCCGAGGAGCAUGCCUGUUUGAGUGUCAUGAAAUCUUCAACUUACGAGCUUCUUGCGGGGUUUGUAGGCUUGGACUUGGAGGCUUGUCGGUCUUUAAAGGUCGGCUCCUCUUAAAUGCAUUAGCUUGGUUCCUUGCGGAUCGGGUUGUCGGUGUGAUAAUGUCUACGCCGCGACCGUGAAGCGUUUGGCAGGCUUCUAACCGUCUCGGUAUAGAGACAAGUUUAUGACCUCUGACCUCAAAUCAGGUAGGACUACCCGCUGAACUUAAGCAUAUCAAUAAGCGGAGGA